rnacentral:rRNA from 1 species
AUUGAACGCUGGCGGCAGGCCUAACACAUGCAAGUCGAGCGGAGCGGCGGACGGGUGAGUAAUGCCUAGGAAUCUGCCUGGUAGUGGGGGAUAACGUCCGGAAACGGGCGCUAAUACCGCAUACUAUCAGAUGAGCCUAGGUCGGAUUAGCUAGUUAGUGGGGUAAGGGCCUACCAAGGCGACGAUCCGUAACUGGUCUGAGAGAAUGAUCAGUCACACUGGAACUGAGACACGGUCCAGACUCCUGCGGGAGACAGCAGUGGGGAAUAUUGGACAAUGUGCGAGAGCCGGAUCGAGCCAUGCCGCGUGUGUGAAGAAGGUCUUCGGAUUGUAAAGCGCUUUAAGUUGGGAGGCGGUACCAGCAGAAUAAGCACCGGCUAACUUCGUGCCAGCAGCAGCGGUAAUAC